AUUCCUGCUCCAAUAGCGUAUAUUAAAGUUGUUGCGGUUAAAAAGCUCGUAGUUGGAUCUCAGUUGCAGAGGGACGGUCCUCCUACCGGUGGUCACUGUCUUUUCUGAACGUCUCAGCCGGUUUCUCUUGAUGAUCUUCACCGGUUGUCUUGGGUGACCGGCAAGUUUACUUUGAAAAAAUUAGAGUGCUCAAAGCAUGCGUGACGCAUGAAUAAUGGUGCAUGGAAUAAUGGAAUAGGACCUCGGUUCUAUUUUGUUGGUUUACGGAAAACGAGGUAAUGAUUAAGAGGGACAGCCGGGGGCAUUCGUACUGCGACGCUAGAGGUGAAAUUCUUGGACCGUCGCAAGACGAACUACUGCGAAAGCAUUUGCCAAGAAUGUUUUCAUUA
rnacentral:rRNA from 1 species